rnacentral:rRNA from 1 species
GGAGUCUAGCAUGUGCGCGAGUCAUUGGGACGAGCGAAACCUAAAGGCGAAAUGAAAGUGAAGGCGUGCCUCGCGCGCGCCGAGGGAGGAUGGGCCGCGCUCGUCGCGGCCUCGCACUCCCGGGGCGUUUCGUUCUCAUCGCGAGAAGAGGCGCACCCAGAGCGUACACGCUGGGACCCGAAAGAUGGUGAACUAUGCCUGGUCAGGACGAAGUCAGGGGAAACCCUGAUGGAGGUCCGUAGCGAUUCUGACGUGCAAAUCGAUCGUCGGAACUGGGUAUAGGGGCGAAAGACUAAUCGAACCAUCUAGUAGCUGGUUCCCUCCGAAGUUUCCCUCAGGAUAGCUGGCGCUCGCUGUGCGAGUCUCAUCCGGUAAAGCGAAUGAUUAGAGGCAUUGGGGUCGAAACGGCCUCAACCUAUUCUCAAACUUUAAAUGGGUGAGAACUCCGGCUUGCUUAAACCGUGAAGCCGCGAGUUUUCCUUUCGUAAGGAUCAGAGUGCCAAGUGGGCCACUUUUGGUAAGCAGAACUGGCGCUGUGGGAUGAACCAAACGCAGAGUUAAAGCGCCCAAAUCGACGCUUAUGGGAUACCAUGAAAGGCGUUGGUAACUUAAGACAGCAGGACGGUGGCCAUGGAA